rnacentral:rRNA from 1 species
AUUGAACGCUGGCGGCAGGCCUAACACAUGCAAGUCGAGCGGGGUUUUCGGACCUAGCGGCGGACGGGUGAGUAAUGCGUAGGAAGCUGCCCGAUAGAGGGGGAUACCAGUUGGAAACGACUGUUAAUACCGCAUAAUGUCUACGGACCAAAGUGUGGGACCUUCGGGCCACAUGCUAUCGGAUGCACCUACGUGGGAUUAGCUAGUUGGUGAGGUAAUGGCUAACCAAGGCGACGAUCUCUAGCUGGUUUGAGAGGAUGAUCAGCCACACUGGAACUGAGACACGGUCCAGACUCCUACGGGAGGCAGCAGUGGGGAAUAUUGGACAAUGGGCGCAAGCCUGAUCCAGCCAUGCCGCGUGUGUGAAGAAGGCCUUCGGGUUGUAAAGCACUUUCAGCGAGGAGGAAGGGUGGUGUGUUAAUAGCACAUCAUUUUGACGUUACUCGCAGAAGAAGCACCGGCUAACUCUGUGCCAGCCGCCGCCGUAAGAC